rnacentral:rRNA from 1 species
GAUGAACGCUAGCUACAGGCUUAACACAUGCAAGUCGAGGGGCAUCAUGGAGGCAGCUUGCUGUCUCUGAUGGCGACCGGCGAAUGGGUGAGUAACGCGUAUCCAACCUGCCAUAAUGAUGGGGACAACAGCUCGAAAGAGCUGCUAAUACCGAAUGUUGCUAAAGUUUCGCAUGGGAGUUUAGUUAAAGAUGGCCUCUAUUUAUAAGCUAUCGCAUUAUGAUGGGUCUGCGUCCGAUUAGCUAGUUGGUGAGGUAAAAGCUCACCAAGGCGACGAUCGGUAGCCGAUCUGAGAGGAUGACCGGCCACAUUGGGACUGAGACACGGCCCAGACUCC